GUUCACUAGCUAGUAGAGAGAUCUUUCUGUAUCCCGCAGCGGUGUUUAUAUGUGCAUGCAAGCAGUUGCCCCUUCACACUGAUACCGAGACACACAGCAGCAUGGCGAGCCGGGAAAGAGCACAGAGUUUACUUCACUCAUCAACAAAAACAAAGUUGUCAUGCAUUGGAUUCCUGCGGGUUUUAUUUAUUACUUUUAUACACACGGCGCAGGCGAACAAACAAGCAUUCAUACAGUCAGACACAAUCCUCGAGGCGCUACACUUUGGAGAAGGAAGUCUCUUGCAGACAGAGUCUGACUUUGAUCUAAGUUUAUAUAAUCAAAAAUGUGCAUCCCCACAUCCAGGGAACUGCAGACCUAUACUCUUCAGCCUCCAAUGCUGGACUUCCUAUGAACAG